rnacentral:lncRNA from 1 species
AUGGUACUUAGGUCAAAGCUCCUAGUUCCAACUACCGAUUUUUAUGUGCCCAAGGGCGAUGUCCGGGUCGCCUCCGACCUCGACCGAGUCGCUGCUAUUGACUGGUCCAAGACUGUGUUCCGGGCUUUAAGCGACAGCAUUAGGUGUUGGCGCCAAAACCCGGCAUCGUCAAUAGCUUCUUGUGUCGUAUUCCUCGUGAUGUUUACUAAGGACAUCGUGGAUAAGCUCGUUGCUGCUGAUCAGGAAGCAAGCAGGGACGGCAUGCCGCCUUUUGGCAACCUCCCC